UACCUGCAGCUCGAGUGGUAACCGCUAUUAUUGGGCCUACAGCGUCCGUAGCCGGUUUGGUAAAUAUCUGGGUAAAUCGUGAGGCUUAACUUCACGAAUUUCGGAUAGACUGCCAGACUUGGGAUCGGGGGAGGUCAGAGGUACUCCAGGGGUAGCGGUGAAAUGUUGUAAUCCUUGGAGGACCACCGGUAGCGAAGGCGUCUGACUAGAACGAGUCCGACGGUGAGGGACGAAGCCCUGGGGGCGCAAACCGGGAUUAGAUACCCGGGUAGUCCAGGGUGUAAACGAUGUGGGCUUUGUAUUGGAGGUCCCACGUGGGCGUCCAGUGCAGAAGAGAAGUUGUUAAGCCCACCGCCUGGGAAGUACGGUCGCAAGGCUGAAACUUAAAGGAAUUGGCGGGGAGCACAGCAACGGGAGGAGCGUGCGGUUU
rnacentral:rRNA from 1 species